rnacentral:rRNA from 1 species
UACGUAGGGUGCGAGCGUUAAUCGGAAUUACUGGGCGUAAAGCGUGCGCAGGCGGUGAUGUAAGACAGUUGUGAAAUCCCCGGGCUCAACCUGGGAACUGCAUCUGUGACUGCAUCGCUGGAGUGCGGCAGAGGGGGAUGGAAUUCCGCGUGUAGCAGUGAAAUGCGUAGAUAUGCGGAGGAACACCGAUGGCGAAGGCAAUCCCCUGGGCCUGCACUGACGCUCAUGCACGAAAGCGUGGGAGCAAACAGG